rnacentral:rRNA from 1 species
GACGAACGCUGGCGGCGUGCCUAACACAUGCAAGUCGAACGGAAAGGCCCUGCACUUGCCCGGUGCUCGAUUGGCGAACGGGUGAGAAACACGUGAGUAACCUGCCCCUGUCUUUGGGAUAUCACCAGGAAACAGGGGCUAAUACAGGACAGGAUCUCCUGCAGCAUGGGGUGGGUUGGAAAGAUUCGGCGGUUGGGGAUGGACUAGCUGCUUAUCAGCUAGAUGGGGGGGUAGUGGGUUACCAAGGUUUUGACGGGUAGCCGGCCUGAGAGGAUGACCGGCAGCAUUGGGAGUGAGAUAGGACUCAGUCUCCUACGGCGCGCAACGGGGGAGAAUAUUGCGCAAUAGAGGGAAGCCAGUUGCAGGAACGGGGCGAGCGGGAUGCCGGCCUUCGGGUUGAAAACCGCUUUCGACUGUACCAGAGAGUGAGUGACGGUACUUGUUAAAAAAGCAACGGCUAACUACGUG